rnacentral:misc_RNA from 1 species
AAUGAAAAAUAUGACUCAAAUACUACCAAUAUGAGCAUGGAAAUUAGUUUGAAUGGAAAAAUCCACUUCCUAUGCCAUCUGUGAUUUAAUGGUGACAUAAAGUUGCAAUUCUUACAAAUUUCUUCCUCCUUUUGGCUAGAGGAGGGUGAUAGAUAUGCUUCGAACCAACGAAGUAGCUAGCUGAAUAGCAUAGUCGAUGGGAUCUUCAUCUAAAAUGAUGCAUAUGUGAAGUUUGCACAUCUUUGUCUAGUUUUUAGAAUUUUCUCCUAAGAUAAAGAUACAAAAAGUGGAUGGAAGAAGAUCUGACAAGAG